CGGGGGAACUGAAACAUCUAAGUACCCCGAGGAAAAGAAAUCAACCGAGAUUCCCCCAGUAGCGGCGAGCGAACGGGGAGCAGCCCAGAGCCUGAAUCAGUGUGUGUGUUAGUGGAAGCGUCUGGAAAGGCGUGCGAUACAGGGUGACAGCCCCGUACACAAAAAUGCACAUGCUGUGAGCUCGAUGAGUAGGGCGGGACACGUGGUAUCCUGUCUGAAUAUGGGGGGACCAUCCUCCAAGGCUAAAUACUCCUGACUGACCGAUAGUGAACCAGUACCGUGAGGGAAAGGCGAAAAGAACCCCGGCGAGGGGAGUGAAAAAGAACCUGAAACCGUGUACGUACAAGCAGUGGGAGCACGCUUAGGCGUGUGACUGCGUACCUUUUGUAUAAUGGGUCAGCGACUUAUAUUCUGUAGCAAGGUUAACCGAAUAGGGGAGCCGAAGGGAAACCGAGUCUUAACUGGGCGUUAAGUUGCAGGGUAUAGACCCGAAACCCGGUGAUCUAGCCAUGGGCAGGUUGAAGGUUGGGUAACACUAACUGGAGGACCGAACCGACUAAUGUUGAAAAAUUAGCGGAUGACUUGUGGCUGGGGGUGAAAGGCCAAUCAAACCGGGAGAUAGCUGGUUCUCCCCGAAAGCUAUUUAGGUAGCGCCUCGUGAAUUCAUCUCCGGGGGUAGAGCACUGUUUCGGCAAGGGGGUCAUCCCGACUUACCAACCCGAUGCAAACUGCGAAUACCGGAGAAUGUUAUCACGGGAGACACACGGCGGGUGCUAACGUCCGUCGUGAAGAGGGAAACAACCCAGACCGCCAGCUAAGGUCCCAAAGUCAUGGUUAAGUGGGAAACGAUGUGGGAAGGCCCAGACAGCCAGGAUGUUGGCUUAGAAGCAGCCAUCAUUUAAAGAAAGCGUAAUAGCUCACUGGUCGAGUCGGCCUGCGCGGAAGAUGUAACGGGGCUAAACCAUGCACCGAAGCUGCGGCAGCGACACUGUGUGUUGUUGGGUAGGGGAGCGUUCUGUAAGCCUGCGAAGGUGUGCUGUGAGGCAUGCUGGAGGUAUCAGAAGUGCGAAUGCUGACAUAAGUAACGAUAAAGCGGGUGAAAAGCCCGCUCGCCGGAAGACCAAGGGUUCCUGUCCAACGUUAAUCGGGGCAGGGUGAGUCGACCCCUAAGGCGAGGCCGAAAGGCGUAGUCGAUGGGAAACAGGUUAAUAUUCCUGUACUUGGUGUUACUGCGAAGGGGGGACGGAGAAGGCUAUGUUGGCCGGGCGACGGUUGUCCCGGUUUAAGCGUGUAGGCUGGUUUUCCAGGCAAAUCCGGAAAAUCAAGGCUGAGGCGUGAUGACGAGGCACUACGGUGCUGAAGCAACAAAUGCCCUGCUUCCAGGAAAAGCCUCUAAGCAUCAGGUAACAUCAAAUCGUACCCCAAACCGACACAGGUGGUCAGGUAGAGAAUACCAAGGCGCUUGAGAGAACUCGGGUGAAGGAACUAGGCAAAAUGGUGCCGUAACUUCGGGAGAAGGCACGCUGAUAUGUAGGUGAAGUCCCUCGCGGAUGGAGCUGAAAUCAGUCGAAGAUACCAGCUGGCUGCAACUGUUUAUUAAAAACACAGCACUGUGCAAACACGAAAGUGGACGUAUACGGUGUGACGCCUGCCCGGUGCCGGAAGGUUAAUUGAUGGGGUCAGCGCAAGCGAAGCUCUUGAUCGAAGCCCCGGUAAACGGCGGCCGUAACUAUAACGGUCCUAAGGUAGCGAAAUUCCUUGUCGGGUAAGUUCCGACCUGCACGAAUGGCGUAAUGAUGGCCAGGCUGUCUCCACCCGAGACUCAGUGAAAUUGAACUCGCUGUGAAGAUGCAGUGUACCCGCGGCAAGACGGAAAGACCCCGUGAACCUUUACUAUAGCUUGACACUGAACAUUGAGCCUUGAUGUGUAGGAUAGGUGGGAGGCUUUGAAGUGUGGACGCCAGUCUGCAUGGAGCCGACCUUGAAAUACCACCCUUUAAUGUUUGAUGUUCUAACGUUGACCCGUGAUCCGGGUUGCGGACAGUGUCUGGUGGGUAGUUUGACUGGGGCGGUCUCCUCCUAAAGAGUAACGGAGGAGCACGAAGGUUGGCUAAUCCUGGUCGGACAUCAGGAGGUUAGUGCAAUGGCAUAAGCCAGCUUGACUGCGAGCGUGACGGCGCGAGCAGGUGCGAAAGCAGGUCAUAGUGAUCCGGUGGUUCUGAAUGGAAGGGCCAUCGCUCAACGGAUAAAAGGUACUCCGGGGAUAACAGGCUGAUACCGCCCAAGAGUUCAUAUCGACGGCGGUGUUUGGCACCUCGAUGUCGGCUCAUCACAUCCUGGGGCUGAAGUAGGUCCCAAGGGUAUGGCUGUUCGCCAUUUAAAGUGGUACGCGAGCUGGGUUUAGAACGUCGUGAGACAGUUCGGUCCCUAUCUGCCGUGGGCGCUGGAGAACUGAGGGGGGCUGCUCCUAGUACGAGAGGACCGGAGUGGACGCAUCACUGGUGUUCGGGUUGUCAUGCCAAUGGCACUGCCCGGUAGCUAAAUGCGGAAGAGAUAAGUGCUGAAAGCAUCUAAGCACGAAACUUGCCCCGAGAUGAGUUCUCCCUGACUCCUUGAGAGUCCUGAAGGAACGUUGAAGACGACGACGUUGAUAGGCCGGGUGUGUAAGCGCAGCGAUGCGUUGAGCUAACCGGUACUAAUGAACCGUGAGGCUUAACCUUACAACGCCGAAGGUGUUU
rnacentral:rRNA from 1 species